rnacentral:rRNA from 1 species
UACGGAGGGGGCGAGCGUUAUUCGGAAUUAUUGGGCGUAAAGGGCGCGUAGGCGGCUGAACAAGUCAAAGGUGAAAUCCCUCGGCUCAACUGAGGAACUGCCUUUGAAACUGUUCGGCUUGAGGCCGGGAGGGGGUAGCGGAAUUCCCAGUGUAGCGGUGAAAUGCGUAGAUAUUGGGAGGAACACCAGUGGCGAAGGCGACUACCUGGCCUGUUCUUGACGCUGAGGCGCGAAAGCUAGGGGAGCAAACGGG